CGCAUAGUUCAGUUUACAUCUAUCAUUUAUUUUAUAUUUUGUUUUUUACGUUUUUCACCGAUCUCUAUCACAUCAGACACCGUAAUGGCAGAAGUAGAAGAAAGACCCGAUUACAAAAUUGAUGACGCACCGGCUCUGUUCGAAAAGUUCAUCAAAGAUUACGAUAGAAAUUAUAAGGAUGAAGAAGAAAAGGAACUUCGAUACCAAGCAUUUCUGGAAACGCUAAAGGGUGUGAUUGAAAGGAAUGAAAAGGAAACCAACCCUGAAAUUGUUUACUCUAUCAAUGAAUUCGCAGAUUUAACUGCAGAGGAGAAGAAUGCUAUGCUGGACGAGCAAAUCGACUAAGAGACUCGUAGGAGCACUCGAACUGGCCUGUUUACUUCAUUUUUCGAUAUUUAUUAAUUAAUUAAGAUAAAAUAAUUAUUAAAAUAGUUGUUUAAGUC
rnacentral:lncRNA from 1 species